AGAGUUUGAUCCUGGCUCAGGACGAACGCUGGCGGCGUGCUUAACACAUGCAAGUGGAGCGACGAACCGGGGCUUGCCCCGGGGCAGAGCCGCGAACGGGUGAGUAACACGUGGGUUACCUGCCUCAAUGACCGGGACAACCCGAGGAAACUCGGGCUAAUACCGGAUGUGCCCGCAAGGGGAAAGGAAGCUUCGGCCUCCGCAUUGAGAUGGGCCCGCGGCCCAUUAGCUUGUUGGUGAGGUAACGGCUCACCAAGGCUUCGAUGGGUAGCUGGUCUGAGAGGACAAUCAGCCACACUGGGACUGAGACACGGCCCAGACUCCUACGGGAGGCAGCAGUGGGGAAUCUUGCGCAAUGCGCGAAAGCGUGACGCAGCAACGCCGCGUGGGGGAAGAAGGCUUUCGGGUUGUAAACCCCUUUCAGUUGG
rnacentral:rRNA from 1 species